rnacentral:rRNA from 1 species
GUCUACGGCCAUGAUACCCUGAACAUGCCUAAUCUCGUCUGAUCUCAGAAGCUAAGCAGGUUCGGGCAUGGUUAGUGCUUAGUAUUCUCACAGCUGUGCUGUAUCACGACUAGAGAGACUGAGUGCUGUACACA